rnacentral:rRNA from 1 species
GAUGAACGCUGGCGGCGUGCCUAAUACAUGCAAGUCGAGCGAACGGACGAGAAGCUUGCUUCUCUGAUGUUAGCGGCGGACGGGCGAGUAACACGUGGAUAACCUACCUAUAAGACUGGGAUAACUUCGGGAAACCGUAGCUAAUACCGGAUAAUAUUUUGAACCGCAUGGUUCAAAAGUGAAAGACGGUCUUGCUGUCACUUAUAGAUGGAUCCGCGCUGCAUUAGCUAGUUGGUAAGGUAACGGCUUACCAAGGCAACGAUGCAUAGCCGACCUGAGAGGGGGAUCGGCCACACUGGAACUGAGACAGGGUCCAGACCCCUAGGGGAGGCAGCAGUAGGGAAUCUUCCGCAAUGGGCGAAAGCCUGACGGAGCAACGCCGCGUGGGUGAUGAAGGUCUUCGGAUCGUAAAACUCUGUUAUUAGGGAAAAAAAUAUGUGUAAGUAACUGUGCCCAUCUUGACGGUACCAAAUCAGAAAGCCACGGCUAACUACGU